rnacentral:rRNA from 1 species
GAUGAACGCUGGCGGUCUGCUUAACACAUGCAGGUCGAACGGAAGUAGCAAUACUUUAGUGGCGGACGGGUGAGUAACACGUAAGAAUCUGCCUCCAGGACGGGAAAAACAGUUGGAAACGACUGCUAAUUCCGGAUGAGCCGAAAGGUAAAAAGAAAUUCGCCUGGAGAUGAGCUUGCGGCUGAUUAGCUAGUUGGUAGGGUAAGAGCCUACCAAGGCGACGAUCAGUAGCUGGUCUGAGAGGAUGAGCAGCCACACUGGGACUGAGACACGGCCCAGACUCCUACGGGAGGCAGCAGUGGGGAAUUUUCCGCAAUGGGCGAAAGCCUGACGGAGCAAGACCGCGUGGGGGAGGAAGGUUCUUGGAUUGUCAACCCCUUUUCUCAGGGAAGAAGAUCUGACGGUACCUGAGGAAUCAGCAUCGGCUAACUCCGUGCCAGCAGCCGCCGCCGUAA